UCAGCACAGGAAUACAGUUGCAACUACACUCUGCCUCUUCCGAGUUUUUGUCUUUCCAGGCAAAAAUUACCAACAGCGCCCCGCUGGAUA
rnacentral:lncRNA from 1 species